CUUGCUGACGAGCGGCGGACGGGUGAGUAAUGCCUGGGAAUAUGCCAUGAGGUGGGGGACAACAGUUGGAAACGACUGCUAAUACCGCAUAAUGUCUACGGACCAAAGAGGGGGACCUUCGGGCCUCUUGCCUUGUGAUUAGCCCAGGUGGGAUUAGCUAGUUGGUGGGGUAAAGGCCUACCAAGGCGACGAUCUCUAGCUGGUUUGAGAGGAUGAUCAGCCACACUGGGACUGAGACACGGCCCAGACUCCUACGGGAGGCAGCAGUGGGGAAUAUUGCACAAUGGGGGAAACCCUGAUGCAGCCAUGCCGCGUGUGUGAAGAAGGCCUUAGGGUUGUAAAGCACUUUCAGUUGUGAGGAAAGGGUGUUGAUUAAUACUCAGCAUCUGUGACGUUAGCAACAGAAGAAGCACCGGCUAACUCCGUGCCAGCAGCCGCGGUAAUACGGAGGGUGCGAGCGUUAAUCGGAAUUACUGGGCGUAAAGCGCACGUAGGUGGUUGAAUAAGCCAGAUGUGAAAGCCCCGGGCUUAACCUGGGAACUGCAUUUGGAACUGUUCAACUAGAGUACGAGAGAGGGUGGUAGAAUUUCAGGUGUAGCGGUGAAAUGCGUAGAUAUCUGAAGGAAUACCGGUGGCGAAGGCGGCCACCUGGCUCGAUACUGACACUGAGGUGCGAAAGCGUGGGUAGCGAACAGGAUUAGAUACCCUG
rnacentral:rRNA from 1 species